CUCACGGGAACCAAACAAGGUUUAAUGUCUCCGGAACAUAAACGAGAGACAGGCCGGUUACAUGUGGUUUUAAUUCCCGCCUUAUACAGUGCAAAAGUGUUGCGUCAUUAAUAGAACGGGAGGUUUUUCAUUCUUCUUUUAAAACUCAGGUAGGCUAUAUAUGAUUAGUAGUGUAGGCAGCAUUCUGACGAAUGAUAGGCCUACCAACACACAAAAUUUCAAGAGCAUUCAGAAAUCCAGCGCAAACGAUCUGUGAGCUGUUCAAAGUGAAGUUUUCAUAGCAAUACAAUUCAAAACGACAAUUUCACGAACUGCUGUCUUUGGACUGAUAAGUGUAAAUUAGAGGAAACCCGCGACUCACGGAGCCAAGAUGAGAACUGAAAAUCCACGUCUUCUACUAAUAGUGUAUCUGUGCUGGGGGAGCCAGGGACAGCCGACAGAAUCUGCUCCUUCCGUCACUAACGUUACAGUGGGAGGGAGCUUCCAGUUUCCCUUCAUACCGGAUGGGAACCAAAGCUACAGGGCAGAGUUGAAAUUUAACUCCACUGUGCUGAUUGCUACAUGGAUCUUUCAGUCACCCCCAUUUAUAAAUGUAAACUACGAAGGAAAAGUGAAGAUUCUGGAAAACCUGAUACAGCUGGAUAACGUUCAGCUUUCAGAUUCAGGUUUUUAUGAUGUGAAUAUAGAUUACCUUUCACAAUCAACAAGUCAACCAAUAAGGUUUAUCCUUCAGGUUUAUGAGCCAGUGUCUAAACCCAACAUCACUGCUGAGUGUCUGGGCAGCAGUGUCACUCUGACCUGCACUAGUAGUCAGGGGACCAAUGUGGAGUACAGCUGGGAAACUGCGCCCCCUUGUGGAGAGAGCUGCUUAGUGCAUCUUGGUCCUGUUGUACAGAUACCCUUCUCUGAUACACGAGACUCCAUAUAUUAUAAAUGUACGGCUUGGAAUGAGGUCAGCAAUGAGACCAGUAACCCUUUGGAGCCGAAUUUAUGCCCCACACAGCAACCAGCAGGUUUUAAUUGGAUUAUAGCCCUAUGGAUGGUAAUACCAGCAUUAUAUCUCACUGGAGCUGUGAUCUACAUAAAGCGGAGCAGAAAAGGAUCAAAUAUAGCAGAUACACCAGAGGAUGGACAUCUGUCACCGUCCCCUACAACAGAACCUGUGUACAUACAAGAGAUGCGAGUUUCCUCAUGUGCAGUUUACAGCCACUUUGUCUCUGGAGGCGACUGAAUUCACUCCAGUACAAAAACGGUGACAUAUUUCAGCUGGGCACACAUACAAACCAGGGCUAAAAAAGUGGAAUCAGAUAAUCUUAACACAUCUAUAAAGGUUUUUAUGGCCUAAAUAUAGAGUAUUACUAUAUAUAAUAUAUAUUUACAGUCAUGUAAACACACUAUAGAUCUACAGUGACACACUAUAGAUAUACAGCAAUAAAGCUGCAGUUUUGUCACUGUUGUGCUGCACUUAAAAAUAAAAACGACCUUUCUGAGAAAAGGUGGUUUAAGAUCUCAAGAGAACGAACUGUGGGCUGAGCUGUAUGUUUCAGUGCUUUGAACUGCUGUGAAUUUACACCCUAUAGACAAAGACAAAGCUGCUGCAAUGUGUUAAGCUGCACAGUUAGAUGGUCAAUGUGGCCAAUGCUGCAGGAGAGCUUGCACCGCCCACGUGGAAACCUCCGGAAAGAGGGUCUCAGGCACGUCGUGCAAACCAGGCACGGCUGCAGGUGGUAAAGGCAACAGUUCUUUGGUGAAUAUAAGAAGUUGAGAUCAAAAGCCUCUUUAUACUGCGUUACAUGAAAAUAUUUGCAGGUUGUAAUUUUGUGAUUAUUUGGAAUGUUUGAGUUGUAUUCGAAUCUCCCCUGGGGUCAAAAAAUGAUCUUAACCAAAUGUUUUAGAAAGUUAGAGAUCGGUUUUGCAUCGUCUGCUGUCCUGAAGUGUGUUUCUGUAUCACAUUUAACAUGCAUAUGUUGUAUGUAUUUGUAUUUAUUCUCUAUAAUGUAGAAUUUAUAUCCUGUCACUUUUUUUUGUCCUCUUUUGUCACUUGCUGUAGUAGCUGUACGAACAAAA